GAUGAAGAACGUAGUGAAAUGCGAUACGUAAUGUGAAUUGCAGAAUUCAGUGAAUCAUCGAAUCUUUGAACGCACAUUGCGCCCGCUAGUAUUCUGGCGGGCAUGCCUGUUCGAGCGUCAUUUCAACCAUCAAGCCCUAGGCUUGCGUUGGAGCCCUGCGGCUGCCGCAGGCUCCCAAAUCCAGUGGCGGGCUCGUCGUCGUACCGAGUGCAGUAAACAUCCUCGCUCAGGGAACGUGACGGGUUCUUGCCGUGAAACCCCCCACAUAUCAAGGUUGACCUCGGAUCAGGUAGGAAUACCCGCUGAACUUAAGCAUAUCAAUAAGCGGAGGA
rnacentral:misc_RNA from 1 species